AGUGAACGCUGGCGGUAGGCCUAACACAUGCAAGUCGAACGGCAGCACAGUAAGAGCUUGCUCUUACGGGUGGCGAGUGGCGGACGGGUGAGGAAUACAUCGGAAUCUACUUUUUCGUGGGGGAUAACGGAGGGAAACUUACGCUAAUACCGCAUACGACCUACGGGUGAAAGCAUGGGAUCUUCGGACCUUGCGCGAUUGAAUGAGCCGAUGUCGGAUUAGCUAGUUGGCGGGGUAAAGGCCCACCAAGGCGACGAUCCGUAGCUGGUCUGAGAGGAUGAUCAGCCCCACUGGAACUGAGACACGGUCCAGACUCCUACGGGAGGCAGCAGUGGGGAAUAUUGGACAAUGGGCGCAAGCCUGGUCCAGCCAUGCCGCGUGGGUGAAGAAGGCCUUCGGGUUGUAAAGCCCUUUUGUUGGGAAAGAAAAGCAGCAGGUUAAUACCCCGCUGUUCUGACGGUACCCAAAGAAUAAGCACCGGCUAACUUCGUG
rnacentral:rRNA from 1 species